GCCAGGCGCAGUGGCUCACAUCUGUAAUCCCAGCACUUCAGGAGGCCAAGGCGGGUGGAUCACGAGGUCAGGAGUUCAAGACCAGUCUGGCCAACAUAAUGAAACCCCGUCUCUACUAAAAAUACACAAAAAGUUAGCCAGGCGUGGUGGUGUGCGCUUGUAAUCCCAGCUACUCAGGGGGCUGAGGCAGGAGAAUCGUGUGAACCCGGGAGGCGGNNNNNNNNNNUCACACGAUUCUCCUGCCUCAGCCCCCUGAGUAGCUGGGAUUACAAGCGCACACCACCACGCCUGGCUAACUUUUUGUGUAUUUUUAGUAGAGACGGGGUUUCAUUAUGUUGGCCAGACUGGUCUUGAACUCCUGACCUCGUGAUCCACCCGCCUUGGC
rfam:Gorilla gorilla gorilla genomic chromosome, chr22, whole genome shotgun sequence